UGCACCACUGGUGAUGCAGAACUGCGCACACUAUCCGUGGUGAUUGGCUCACGUAUGAGGUCGGAAGAAAAAAAAAUUCUGGCACCACACCCUGGCUCCACGCAUGAGCCAAUCAUCACGGACGGUGCACCUGUGGUGCACAAAAAAUUUUUCAUUGGUGGUAGGACUAGAAGUGGGUCCAGGCUAGAGUGAGGCUCGUCGGGCUGGGCCUAAUGCGCGCACCGCCUGUGGUUCACAAAGAAUUUCUCAUUGAUGGUAGGACUAGAAGUGGGUCCAGACUAGAGUGAGGCUUGUCGGGCUGGGCCACAGCCUAAACCGUAGUAAAUUUGGAUCUGGUUUGGAGUUAAAUUUGAACCAUAGACAUUUGGGUUCAUGCAGACUCAUCUGAUUGAACCUUCAAGUAGGGUCGCUCUAGACACCACGCUCUAGGCUCAAAUCAUAAGUUCUUGUCCCCAUUUAAAGGUUUUGUGAAAAUCCCAAAAUCAAAACAACUAAUUGAUAGAUUUGUCUAACCUAUUUAAAACUCGGGCU
rnacentral:lncRNA from 1 species